rnacentral:lncRNA from 1 species
GGAUGUGAUUUGCCCCUCCUUGCCUUCUGCCAUGAUUGUGAGGCCUCCCAGCCACGUGAAACUGAUCACAGGGCUCAGGUGAAAUCCAAGACUGUCAGAAGUGUGGAUAAAGUUAAAAUAUUUAACCUUCUCAUGUAAACAUAAGAGCCUGAUUAAUUUUGAGACAUAAGCUUUGGACUCAGAUAGAACUGAGCUGGACUCUUGCUUCACUUCACUUCACUGAGCUGCAUGGGCUUGGAGGGAUGUAAAACGACGCUUAAACAGGGGCGCACGGUGACAGAUGCGGCCCUGGCACGGCAGCACUGGCGUUGAGAUUCCACAUCAGCAUCGGUGUGGACCUGAGAAAACUAUUGCGCCUUUUGCAGACCC